rfam:Asian citrus Psyllid, Diaphorina citri - Florida Strain, whole genome shotgun sequence.
AAAACGGUCCUUUUCAGGACCAACCAUUUUGACGAUCUCAAUUAAU